rnacentral:rRNA from 1 species
CCUACGGGUGGCAGCAGUGAGGAAUAUUGGUCAAUGGGCGCGAGCCUGAACCAGCCAAGUAGCGUGAAGGAUGACUGCCCUACGUGUUGUAAACUUCUUUUAUAAAGGAAUAAAGUGAGGCACGUGUGCCUUUUUGUAUGUACUUUAUGAAUAAGGAUCGGCUAACUCCGUGCCAGCAGCCGCGGUAAUACGGAGGAUCCGAGCGUUAUCCGGAUUUAUUGGGUUUAAAGGGAGCGUAGAUGGGUUGUUAAGUCAGUUGUGAAAGUUUGCGGCUCAACCGUAAAAUUGCAAUGGAUACUGGCAGGCUUGAGUACAGUUGGGGUAGGCGGAAUUCGUGGUGUAGCGGUGAAAUGCUUAGAUAUCACGAAGAACACCGAUUGCGAAGGCAGCUUACUAAACUGCCACUGACAUUGAGGCUCGAAAGUGUGGGUAUCAAACAGGAUUAGAUACCCGAGUAGUC